ACGAACGCUGGCGGCGUGGAUAAGACAUGCAAGUCGAACGAGAGAAUUGCUAGCUUGCUAAUAAUUCUCUAGUGGCGCACGGGUGAGUAACACGUGAGUAACCUGCCCCCGAGAGCGGGAUAGCCCUGGGAAACUGGGAUUAAUACCGCAUAGUAUCGAAAGAUUAAAGCAGCAAUGCGCUUGGGGAUGGGCUCGCGGCCUAUUAGUUAGUUGGUGAGGUAACGGCUCACCAAGGCGAUGACGGGUAGCCGGUCUGAGAGGAUGUCCGGCCACACUGGAACUGAGACACGGUCCAGACACCUACGGGUGGCAGCAGUCGAGAAUCAUUCACAAUGGGGGAAACCCUGAUGGUGCGACGCCGCGUGGGGGAAUGAAGGUCUUCGGAUUGUAAACCCCUGUCAUGUGGGAGCAAAUUAAAAAGAUAGUACCACAAGAGGAAGAGACGGCUAACUCUGUGCCAGCAGCCGCGGUAAUACAGAGGUCUCAAGCGUUGUUCGGAAUCACUGGGCGUAAAGCGUGCGUAGGCUGUUUCGUAAGUCGUGUGUGAAAGGCGCGGGCUCAACCCGCGGACGGCACAUGAUACUGCGAGACUAGAGUAAUGGAGGGGGAACCGGAAUUCUCGGUGUAGCAGUGAAAUGCGUAGAUAUCGAGAGGAACACUCGUGGCGAAGGCGGGUUCCUGGACAUUAACUGACGCUGAGGCACGAAGGCCAGGGGAGCGAAAGGGAUUAGAUACCCCUGUAGUCCUGGCAGUAAACGGUGCACGCUUGGUGUGCGGGGAAUCGACCCCCUGCGUGCCGGAGCUAACGCGUUAAGCGUGCCGCCUGGGGAGUACGGUCGCAAGAUUAAAACUCAAAGAAAUUGACGGGGACCCGCACAAGCGGUGGAGUAUGUGGCUUAAUUCGAUGCAACGCGAAGAACCUUACCUGGGCUUGACAUGUAAUGAACAACAUGUGAAAGCAUGCGACUCUUCGGAGGCGUUACACAGGUGCUGCAUGGCCGUCGUCAGCUCGUGUCGUGAGAUGUUUGGUUAAGUCCAGCAACGAGCGCAACCCCUGUUGCCAGUUACCAGCACGUGAAGGUGGGGACUCUGGCGAGACUGCCCAGAUCAACUGGGAGGAAGGUGGGGACGACGUCAGGUCAGUAUGGCCCUUAUGCCCAGGGCUGCACACGUACUACAAUGCCCAGUACAGAGGAGGCCGAAGCCGCGAGGCGGAGGAAAUCCUAAAAACUGGGCCCAGUUCGGACUGUAGGCUGCAACCCGCCUACACGAAGCCGGAAUCGCUAGUAAUGGCGCAUCAGCUACGGCGCCGUGAAUACGUUCCCGGGUCUUGUACACACCGCCCGUCACAUCAUGGAAGCCGGUCGCACCCGAAGUAUCUGAAGCCAACCGCAAGGAGGCAGGGUCCUAAGGUGAGACUGGUAACUGGGAUG
rnacentral:rRNA from 1 species